rnacentral:rRNA from 1 species
AUGAAGAGGCGGUUCGUCAAUCUGGUGACGCAGAACUGGACGGAGGGCGUGUAUUCGGUGCGCCGGAUCGAUCCUUACCACCAUUUCUUCUACGGGUCAGCAGAUGCAGCGCUCCGAGCAGCGGCGGCCGAGAAGACGGAGCCUUUUCCGGCGAUGCGGAUCAAGGAGCUGCCGACGCCAUGCAUGAACUUCACCGCAGCAGGUAGCCAUGGCGGCACCCUGGACAUGUUCGCGCUCUACAGCCCCCGCGCCACCGGCGACGGCAGAAUAGUCUACACCGACAUGAUGGGCAACGCCGGGCUGUACGACGCCGGCAGACAUGUCCACACCGCGCUGAGCCGCCUCAACGAGCGCAAGGGACCUCAGCCCAUGUGCCUGUCCAUCGCGCACCCCGAUGCGGACGAAGAAGACAAUCUGUACGUCUUGGAUACGUACCCGGGCGACCGUGGGUGCUUCGAGGUCCUUGAGCGCACGCGCAGAAGAUUUAGGUGCAGGAUGAUGCCGCAAUGGCACUGGCGACUUCUUCCGCCGCCUCCCUUUGUCCGCCAACCUUUGUACCGACCAUCCUCUGUCACCUCCUUUACCACCAUGGUCGACGGCGACGGCUGCUCGACCAUCUACAUAUCAUGCGCUGGCGCUGGCGGCGUCGAUGUCGGCACCUACAGCUACGAGACGCCGCGCCACGAGUACAGCGAGCCUCGAGGAUGGCGCCACGUCGGGGAAUGGAUGCUGCCCUUUCGCGGCAGAGCUCACUACGUCCCUGAGUUCAACCUGUGGUUUGGCUUCUCGGCCUCGAGCCCGGACGAUCACCUGUGCGCCGCGGACCUCUCUGCCAUGGACGGCGGACGGCAGCCCUCCGCGCCCACGGUAUGGGAAGAUCUGAACCCGCCUGAUGAGGGAGAGGCGUGGCUUCCAAAGCAGCUCGAGCUUCUCCACCUGGGCGGUGGCAAGUUUCUCAUCGCAAAGACCUUUACGGAAGGAGAAAGAGGUGGAUACUUUUCUGUGCUCACCGGCGUAGAGAUGAUGGCGUGCGCCGCCGGUGAUGACCGGCAGCAGACCCUUCAGAUGGUCAAGCACAAGUGCGCGCGUUUUGUCUUCACGGAUGAGCACAUCGAGCGGGUGCUCUGA